rnacentral:rRNA from 1 species
AUUGAACGCUGGCGGCAUGCCUUACACAUGCAAGUCGAACGGUAACGGGCCUUCGGGUGCCGACGAGUGGCGAACGGGUGAGUAAUACAUCGGAACGUGCCCGAUCGUGGGGGAUAACGGGGCGAAAGCUUUGCUAAUACCGCAUACGAUCUACGGAUGAAAGCAGGGGACCGCAAGGCCUUGCGCGGACGGAGCGGCCGAUGGCAGAUUAGGUAGUUGGUGGGAUAAAAGCUUACCAAGCCGACGAUCUGUAGCUGGUCUGAGAGGAUGAUCAGCCACACUGGGACUGAGACACGGCCCAGACUCCUACGGGAGGCAGCAGUGGGGAAUUUUGGACAAUGGGCGCAAGCCUGAUCCAGCCAUGCCGCGUGCAGGAUGAAGGCCUUCGGGUUGUAAACUGCUUUUGUACGGAACGAAAAGCCUUCUUUUAAUACAGGAGGGUCAUGACGGUACCGUAAGAAUAAGCACCGGCUACUACGUG